rnacentral:sRNA from 1 species
UCACUGUCAGCUACUGGAGCCGCGAGAGG